UGUUGUUACAGGUGCUGUUAACUACUGU
rnacentral:piRNA from 1 species